rnacentral:rRNA from 1 species
UCCCUACGGGAGGCAGCAGUGGGGGAUAUUGCACAAUGGGGGGAACCCUGAUGCAGCGACGCCGCGUGGGUGAAGGAGUAUUUCGGUACGUAAAGCCCUAUCGGCAGGGAAGAAGAAAGACGGUACCUGACUAAGAAGCCCCGGCUAACUACGUGCCAGCAGCCGCGGUAAUACGUAGGGGGCGAGCGUUAUCCGGAUUCACUGGGUGUAAAGGGAGCGUAGACGGCCAAGCAAGCCAGGGGUGAAAGCCCGGGGCCCAACCCCGGGACUGCCCUUGGAACUGCAUGGCUGGAGUGCGGGGGGGG